rnacentral:rRNA from 1 species
GACGAACGCUGGCGGCGUGCUUAACACAUGCAAGUCGAACGGAAAGGCCCUGCUUUUGUGGGGUGCUCGAGUGGCGAACGGGUGAGUAACACGUGAGUAACCUGUCCUUGACUUUGGGAUAACUUCAGGAAACUGGGGCUAAUACCGGAUAGGAGCUCCUGCUGCAUGGUGGGGGUUGGAAAGUUUCGGCGGUUGGGGAUGGACUCGCGGCUUAUCAGCUUGUUGGUGGGGUAGUGGCUUACCAAGGCUUUGACGGGUAGCCGGCCUGAGAGGGUGACCGGCCACAUUGGGACUGAGAUACGGCCCAGACUCCUACGGGAGGCAGCAGUGGGGAAUAUUGCACAAUGGGCGGAAGCCUGAUGCAGCAACGCCGCGUGCGGGAUGACGGCCUUCGGGUUGUAAACCGCUUUCGCCUGUGACGAAGCGUGAGUGACGGUAAUGUGUAAAGAAGCACCGGCUAACUACGUG